UCAUAUAUAUUAUAAAAUUAUAAAAAUUGAAAUUAUAUAGGGAAGAUUUGCAUGGUCCUUGGACAAGGAUGACAUACAAAUACAUAAAAAAUAAAAUUACCUA